CUAAUUUUUGUAUUUUUAGUAGAGACGGGAUUUCACCAUGUUGGCCAGGCUAGUCUCGAACUUCUGACCUCAAAUGAUCCCCUACCUUGGCCUCGCAAAGUGCUGGGAUUACAGGCAGGAGCCACUGUACCCGGUGCCCUAUUAUUGCUUCUUAACGAGGCCCAAAGAAAAAUUACUCAUACCAGUUUAGUUCUAGCUCUGCCAUAAAUUAGUAAAGUGUGACUUGGGACAAAUCCCCCACCUCUUUAACAAUUUUUAUUUUUUUAGACAGAAUCGCAUUAUAUUGCCUAGGCUGGAGUGCAGUGGCUAUUCAUAGGCAUGAUCAGAGCACACGACAGCCUAUAGCCUUGAACUCUUGGGUUCAAGCAAACCUCCCUCAGCUUCCCAAGUAGCUGGAACUACAUGCAUGCAUCACAUGUCCAGCUCUCCAUUAUUUGUUCUCAGCUUAAGGUCUCUCAUCUAUUCUCACUCGUCCUAGAUCAUCCUAGAUGAUCCCUAUAGUCCCCGUGAUUCUAGAAUACACUAUUUACAGAUACUGGCUUAGAUCAAUCCAGGGUACUGCCUAUAACAUGUGGCUUUAGGGUUAAAAUCAAGUCAAGGAUGUUCCUUUGUUAAGACCUCUGAAAGAUUUAAACUACUGCCCUCCUGGAUCCUCUUAGCUAGACAAAAGGGCUUCUAAAACUCUAAAUGGCAU
rnacentral:lncRNA from 1 species